rnacentral:rRNA from 1 species
GACGAACGCUGGCGGCGUGCUUAACACAUGCAAGUCGAACGGAAAGGCCCUGCUUUUGUGGGGUGCUCGAGUGGCGAACGGGUGAGUAACACGUGAGUAACCUGCCCUUGACUUUGGGAUAACUUCAGGAAACUGGGGCUAAUACCGGAUAGGAGCUCCUGCUGCAUGGUGGGGGUUGGAAAGUUUCGGCGGUUGGGGAUGGACUCGCGGCUUAUCAGCUUGUUGGUGGGGUAGUGGCUUACCAAGGCUUUGACGGGUAGCCGGCCUGAGAGGGUGACCGGCCACAUGGGGACUGAGAUACGGCCCAGACUCCUACGGGAGGCAGCAGUGGGGAAUAUUGCACAAUGGGCGGAAGCCUGAUGCAGCAACGCCGCGUGCGGGAUGACGGCCUUCGGGUUGUAAACCGCUUUCGCCUGUGACGAAGCGGGAGUGACGGUAAUGGGUAAAGAAGCACCGGCUAACUACGUG